CCUACUGGUGGCAGCAGUGAGGAAUAUUGGUCAAUGGACGCGAGUCUGAACCAGCCAAGUAGCGUGAAGGAUGACUGCCCUACGGGUUGUAAACUUCUUUUAUAUGGGAAUAAAGUGAGGCUCGUGUGCCCUUUUGUAUGUACUAUAUGAAUAAGGAUCGGCUAACUCCGUGCCAGCAGCCGCGGGAAUACGGAGGCUCCGAGCGUUUUCCGGAUUUAUUGGGUUUAAAGGGAGCGCAGAUGGGUUGUUAAGUCAGUUGUGAAAGUUUGCGGUUCAACCGUAAAAUUGCAAUUGAUACUGGCAGUCUUGAGUGCAGAUGAGGUGGGCGGAAUUCGUGGUGUAGCGGUGAAAUGCUUAGAUAUCACGAAGAACUCCGAUUGCGAAGGCAGCUUACUGGACUGCAACUGACACUGAGGCUCGAAAGUGUGGGUAUCAAACAGGAUUAGAUACCCGAGUAGUC
rnacentral:rRNA from 1 species